rnacentral:rRNA from 1 species
CAUAGGUUAAUGAGGCGAACCGGGGGAACUGAAACAUCUAAGUACCCCGAGGAAAAGAAAUCAACCGAGAUUCCCCCAGUAGCGGCGAGCGAACGGGGAGCAGCCCAGAGCCUGAAUCAGUGUGUGUGUUAGUGGAAGCGUCUGGAAAGGCGCGCGAUACAGGGUGACAGCCCCGUACACAAAAAUGCACAUGCUGUGAGCUCGAUGAGUAGGGCGGGACACGUGGUAUCCUGUCUGAAUAUGGGGGGACCAUCCUCCAAGGCUAAAUACUCCUGACUGACCGAUAGUGAACCAGUACCGUGAGGGAAAGGCGAAAAGAACCCCGGCGAGGGGAGUGAAAAAGAACCUGAAACCGUGUACGUACAAGCAGUGGGAGCCUCUUUAUGGGGUGACUGCGUACCUUUUGUAUAAUGGGUCAGCGACUUAUAUUCUGUAGCAAGGUUAACCGAAUAGGGGAGCCGAAGGGAAACCGAGUCUUAACUGGGCGUUAAGUUGCAGGGUAUAGACCCGAAACCCGGUGAUCUAGCCAUGGGCAGGUUGAAGGUUGGGUAACACUAACUGGAGGACCGAACCGACUAAUGUUGAAAAAUUAGCGGAUGACUUGUGGCUGGGGGUGAAAGGCCAAUCAAACCGGGAGAUAGCUGGUUCUCCCCGAAAGCUAUUUAGGUAGCGCCUCGUGAAUUCAUCUCCGGGGGUAGAGCACUGUUUCGGCAAGGGGGUCAUCCCGACUUACCAACCCGAUGCAAACUGCGAAUACCGGAGAAUGUUAUCACGGGAGACACACGGCGGGUGCUAACGUCCGUCGUGAAGAGGGAAACAACCCAGACCGCCAGCUAAGGUCCCAAAGUCAUGGUUAAGUGGGAAACGAUGUGGGAAGGCCCAGACAGCCAGGAUGUUGGCUUAGAAGCAGCCAUCAUUUAAAGAAAGCGUAAUAGCUCACUGGUCGAGUCGGCCUGCGCGGAAGAUGUAACGGGGCUAAACCAUGCACCGAAGCUGCGGCAGCGACGCUUAUGCGUUGUUGGGUAGGGGAGCGUUCUGUAAGCCUGUGAAGGUGUGCUGUGAGGCAUGCUGGAGGUAUCAGAAGUGCGAAUGCUGACAUAAGUAACGAUAAAGCGGGUGAAAAGCCCGCUCGCCGGAAGACCAAGGGUUCCUGUCCAACGUUAAUCGGGGCAGGGUGAGUCGACCCCUAAGGCGAGGCCGAAAGGCGUAGUCGAUGGGAAACAGGUUAAUAUUCCUGUACUUGGUGUUACUGCGAAGGGGGGACGGAGAAGGCUAUGUUGGCCGGGCGACGGUUGUCCCGGUUUAAGCGUGUAGGCUGGUUUUCCAGGCAAAUCCGGAAAAUCAAGGCUGAGGCGUGAUGACGAGGCACUACGGUGCUGAAGCAACAAAUGCCCUGCUUCCAGGAAAAGCCUCUAAGCAUCAGGUAACAUCAAAUCGUACCCCAAACCGACACAGGUGGUCAGGUAGAGAAUACCAAGGCGCUUGAGAGAACUCGGGUGAAGGAACUAGGCAAAAUGGUGCCGUAACUUCGGGAGAAGGCACGCUGAUAUGUAGGUGAAGUCCCUCGCGGAUGGAGCUGAAAUCAGUCGAAGAUACCAGCUGGCUGCAACUGUUUAUUAAAAACACAGCACUGUGCAAACACGAAAGUGGACGUAUACGGUGUGACGCCUGCCCGGUGCCGGAAGGUUAAUUGAUGGGGUUAGCGGUAACGCGAAGCUCUUGAUCGAAGCCCCGGUAAACGGCGGCCGUAACUAUAACGGUCCUAAGGUAGCGAAAUUCCUUGUCGGGUAAGUUCCGACCUGCACGAAUGGCGUAAUGAUGGCCAGGCUGUCUCCACCCGAGACUCAGUGAAAUUGAACUCGCUGUGAAGAUGCAGUGUACCCGCGGCAAGACGGAAAGACCCCGUGAACCUUUACUAUAGCUUGACACUGAACAUUGAGCCUUGAUGUGUAGGAUAGGUGGGAGGCUUUGAAGUGUGGACGCCAGUCUGCAUGGAGCCGACCUUGAAAUACCACCCUUUAAUGUUUGAUGUUCUAACGUUGACCCGUAAUCCGGGUUGCGGACAGUGUCUGGUGGGUAGUUUGACUGGGGCGGUCUCCUCCUAAAGAGUAACGGAGGAGCACGAAGGUUGGCUAAUCCUGGUCGGACAUCAGGAGGUUAGUGCAAUGGCAUAAGCCAGCUUGACUGCGAGCGUGACGGCGCGAGCAGGUGCGAAAGCAGGUCAUAGUGAUCCGGUGGUUCUGAAUGGAAGGGCCAUCGCUCAACGGAUAAAAGGUACUCCGGGGAUAACAGGCUGAUACCGCCCAAGAGUUCAUAUCGACGGCGGUGUUUGGCACCUCGAUGUCGGCUCAUCACAUCCUGGGGCUGAAGUAGGUCCCAAGGGUAUGGCUGUUCGCCAUUUAAAGUGGUACGCGAGCUGGGUUUAGAACGUCGUGAGACAGUUCGGUCCCUAUCUGCCGUGGGCGCUGGAGAACUGAGGGGGGCUGCUCCUAGUACGAGAGGACCGGAGUGGACGCAUCACUGGUGUUCGGGUUGUCAUGCCAAUGGCACUGCCCGGUAGCUAAAUGCGGAAGAGAUAAGUGCUGAAAGCAUCUAAGCACGAAACUUGCCCCGAGAUGAGUUCUCCCUGACUCCUUGAGAGUCCUGAAGGAACGUUGAAGACGACGACGUUGAUAGGCCGGGUGUGUAAGCGCAGCGAUGCGUUGAGCUAACCGGUACUAAUGAACCGUGAGGCUUAACCUU